AUGUCUCAUUUGAUCUCAUUUGGGGUUUUUACAUUUAAGCACGUGUCUAACCCUAUUGCUCCAAUGCAUUUAGGAGCUACACGUUUAAGUGAAGUCUGCCCUAAAAUGCAAUGCUCCAAAACGAGUCCGGAUCCUCAGUCACCCUUGUCUGCCGCCUUUUCCUGUAGCGCCCCAAAGCGACGUCGUUUUGGGGCAACUUUUCAAGAAAAAAAAAAAACAUAACUCAGAAAUGGGGAAGAAAGAGAGCAGCGGCACCACCACCUCCCCGCCAUUGUUGCCAGACCUUCAAGCAAAACCAAACCCUCUCUCUCUCUUCAACCCUUUGUUGUAUCAGUCAUAAUCUUGAGCCCUAAACUGUUGUUCAAAUGCAACUUUUUUUUGUCUUCAAAAUACUCCCCCUCUCCUCAAUCAAGUCUCCACACACCAUCAUGUCACCAUAGUCAAAAAUCUCACAUGCAUUCCACAGAUUCGAAAAACAAAAACGCACACCAAUUAAACCAAACCAAAAAUCUUACAAUUCGCAAAUCACAAACCCAUUAUAAACCCUCAAUUUAAGCUCCAACAGCCUGCUCAUCAGAAAAGGAGGUAACUUCUUUGCAAAAUCAAUACUCACUCAGAUCUGAAUUACUCGGCAGCCUCCAUACAAUUGACUUGAGCUCUAAGAGAUAGAGAAGAGGAAGGAAAGGUAGGCUGCGGCGAAGAUGGAAGAGAGGAAGGGACGUUGGGCUGCGGCGGAGAGAGUAGGGAGGUGGUGGUGCCGUAGGUGAAGGAGGCCAAAGGUCGCCAGCUACAAGGGUCCCGGUGGUGUGGGUUACCCACCGCUGCUCUCUUUCUUUCCCAUUUCUGAGUUUUGUUUGUGUUUUUUUUUUUUUUCCUUGAAAAGUUGCUCCAAAACGACGUCCGCUACAGGAAAAGGGCGGCAGACAGAGGCGACUGAGGAUUCGGACUUGCUCCAAAACACACGAUAAUUAAUUUUUAACACUACUAAUCAUAACA